GACGAACGCUGGCGGCGUGCUUAACACAUGCAAGUCGAACGGAAAGGCACUAGCUUGCUGGAGUGCUCGAGUGGCGAACGGGUGAGUAACACGUGGGCAAUCUGCUCUGCACUCUGGGAGAAGCCUGGGAAACUGGGUCUAAUACAGGAUAGGACAUUUCUUCCCAUGGGGAUCGGUGGAAAGUUUUUCGGUGCAGGAUGAGCCCGCGGCUUAUCAGCUUGUUGGUGGGGUAGUGGCCUACCAAGGCGACGACGGGUCGCCGGCCUGGGAGGGUGGACGGCGACCAUGGUACUACGGGACGGCCCAGUCUCCUACGGUAGGCAGCGGUGGCGAGUAUUGCACAAUGGGCGAAAGCCUGAUGCAGCGACGCCGCGUGUGUGAUGACGGCCUGCGGGUUGUAAACCUCUUUCGGUAGGGACGACGCGCAAGUGACGGUACCUACAGAAGAAGCACCGGCUAACUACGUG
rnacentral:rRNA from 1 species